GACGAACGCUGGCGGCGUGCUUAACACAUGCAAGUCGAACGAUGAACCCGGAGCUUGCUCCGGUGGAUUAGUGGCGAACGGGUGAGUAACACGUGAGUAACCUGCCCUUGACUCUGGGAUAACUGCGGGAAACUGUAGCUAAUACCGGAUACGACCCUCGGCGGCAUCGCCAGGGGGUGGAAAGAAUUUCGGUCAAGGAUGGACUCGCGGCCUAUCAGCUAGUUGGUGAGGUAACGGCUCACCAAGGCGACGACGGGUAGCCGGCCUGAGAGGGUGACCGGCCACACUGGGACUGAGACACGGCCCAGACUCCUACGGGAGGCAGCAGUGGGGAAUAUUGGGCAAUGGACGCAAGUCUGACCCAGCCAUGCCGCGUGCAGGAUGAAGGCGUUAUGCGUUGUAAACUGCUUUUAUACAGGAAGAAACGACUCUUGCGAGAGGCAUUGACGGUACUGUAUGAAUAAGCACCGGCUAACUCCGUGCCAGCAGCCGCCGUAACAC
rnacentral:rRNA from 1 species